rnacentral:rRNA from 1 species
UACGAAGGGGGCUAGCGUUGCUCGGAAUCACUGGGCGUAAAGCGCACGUAGGCGGCUUUUUAAGUCAGGGGUGAAAUCCUGGAGCUCAACUCCAGAACUGCCUUUGAUACUGAGAGGCUUGAGUCCGGGAGAGGUGAGUGGAACUGCGAGCGUAGAGGUGAAAUUCGUAGAUAUUCGCAAGAACACCAGUGGCGAAGGCGGCUCACUGGCCCGGUACUGACGCUGAGGUGCGAAAGCGUGGGGAGCAAACAGG